CUAGAACCUUCCUUUGUACUCCUGCUUUCAGAUGGGGUUUCAUGUCAGAGAAUCUGAGAUAGAGGAGCAGCUGGAGGAAAUACGCCCCUAUGUCUCCACUAGGGACCCAGCACAACAGUGGAAGCCUCUAGUUGUCAUUACUUCACCACGAAUCCUGGGUCAACCUCAUGGUAACAACAGUGGUAGUAGAGAAACGCACAGGUCCCUAAGACAUUUAGAUGUUUGGCAUAAAACCUUCCUAUUACAUCAUUCAUCACUGUAUUUCAAAGUCCCAUUAAUCAUGAUGAACCUA